UUACGAUCUUAGGCCGAUGCUUUGCCAUGUGGCUCAUAUGCUGGAGUUUUUAUGUUGUCGGAUCUAAAGUUGCUUCGUUGGUUUUAGAUUAUUUGACUGGC
rnacentral:sRNA from 1 species